rnacentral:rRNA from 1 species
UACGGAGGGUGCAAGCGUUAUCCGGAUUCACUGGGUUUAAAGGGCGCGUAGGUGGGUUGGUAAGUCAGUGGUGAAAUCUCCGAGCUUAACUUGGAAACUGCCGUUGAUACUAUCAAUCUUGAAUAUCGCGUAGGUAAGCGGAAUAUGUCAUGUAGCGGUGAAAUGCUUAGAUAUGACAUAGAACACCGAUUGCGAAGGCAGCUUACUUCACGAUCAUUGACACUGAGGCACGAAAGCGUGGGGAGCAAACAGG